GAUUAUGGCUCAGGAUGAACGCUAGCGGCAGGCUUAACACAUGCAAGUCGAGGGGCAGCGGGAUGUAGCAAUACAUUGCCGGCGACCGGCGGAUGGGUGCGUAACGCGUAUGCAACCUACCUUAUACAGGGGAAUAACCUUUCGAAAGGGAGACUAACACCCCAUAGUAUUGAUUUAAGGCAUCUUAGAUUAAUUAAAUAUUUAUAGGUAUAAGAUGGGCAUGCGUAUGAUUAGCUAGUUGGUAGGGUAACGGCUUACCAAGGCGACGAUCAUUAGGGGUUCUGAGAGGAAGGUCCCCCACACUGGUACUGAGACACGGACCAGACUCCUACGGGAGGCAGCAGUGAGGAAUAUUGGUCAAUGGGCGCAAGCCUGAACCAGCCAUGCCGCGUGCAGGAAAGACGGCCUUAUGGGUUGUAAACUGCUUUUACAUAAGACUAACCGUAUAUUUGCGAAUAUACCUGAAUGUAUUAUGAGAAUAAGGAUCGGCUAACUCCGUGCCAGCAGCUGC
rnacentral:rRNA from 1 species